rnacentral:lncRNA from 13 species
AUGUCCAGCGCUGACCCCCGCGCCACCGUGGCGCGGCUGCGCUCGUCCCGCCGGAACAUGGGCGGGGGUCCCGGGGGUCCCGGGGGAUCCGGAGGGUCCGAGGUUUCUGGAGGGUCCCGGCACUCCCGGGGGUCUUGGGGGAUCCCGGGCUCCGGAGCCUUUCGAGGGGUCCGGGAAGUCUCGGGGGGCCCCAAUGCGCCGGAGCCUUGCGGGGGGGGGAUGGGGGGGGAGUCCCGGUAUUCCCGGUGUCCCAGGUGGUGCCGGUCCUAUGGAGCUUUCCGGGAGAUCCCGGCGGAGUCCCGCGGGGUCCCCGCGCUCCGAGGGGUCCCGGGGUCUGAAGCUUUCGGGGCUUCCCGGCGGUCCCUGUGCUCCGGGAGCGGGGAGGAGGGUCAAGGGAGUCCCGGGCUCCGGCGCGUUCCCCGGAGCUCGCCCGGGCUCCGGCGCACCUGGGACAGAUGGGAGACACCGGGAUGCACGGGGGGGAGAUCCCGGGAUCGGCUCUCCCGGUCCAGCAGAGCUCCGGGAUCCCGCGGCGGGGCCGGGGCGGGGGGGCAGCGGCGGCGAUCGGUGCCGGCGGCUCCUGGCACGGGCGGGACAAUGGCCCGGGGCAGCGGCAGCUGCGGGCGGGGGGCGGGGGUGUCUCUGUGUGUGUGUCGGGGUGUGACAUCUCCGUGCGGGUGUGACAUCGCCGUGCGUGUGCGCCGGUGUCGCGGACACGGGAGGGCACGGAGCUGUCGCGCACGCGGGUGUGCCCACAGGGAAUCCCGGAAUCCCGGAGCGGUCGCGGUGGGAAGGACCCUCUGGAGACGUGCCGGUCCUACCCCCCGCCCAGGCGGUGCCACCUGCAGAGGUGACACACGGCCGGGUGACCUGUCCCGGGGCUUGGCCCCUCCGUGGGGAGCAGCUCUGCCUCGUGCUGAGCUGGGAUUUGUGUUUGGUUCGUGGCCAGACCUCCUGGGCACCAUCCUGACACCCCGGGGAGAGAUUUGUGGGGCUGGGUGGGGUUUUUGCGCGGAUUGGUGGGAUUCCCUGUGA